rnacentral:rRNA from 1 species
GAUGAACGCUGGCGGCGUGCUUAACACAUGCAAGUCGAACGAUGAUCCCAGCUUGCUGGGGGAUUAGUGGCGAACGGGUGAGUAACACGUGAGUAACCUGCCCUUGACUCUGGGAUAAGCCUGGGAAACUGGGUCUAAUACCGGAUACGACCAUCUGGCGCAUGUCAUGGUGGUGGAAAGCUUUUGUGGUUUUGGAUGGACUCGCGGCCUAUCAGCUUGUUGGUGGGGUAAUGGCCUACCAAGGCGACGACGGGUAGCCGGCCUGAGAGGGUGACCGGCCACACUGGGACUGAGACACGGCCCAGACUCCUACGGGAGGCAGCAGUGGGGAAUAUUGCACAAUGGGCGCAAGCCUGAUGCAGCGACGCCGCGUGAGGGAUGACGGCCUUCGGGUUGUAAACCUCUUUCAGUAGGGAAGAAGCC